GGGAUAAACGCUGAAAGCAUCUAAGUGUGAAGCCCCCCUCGAGAUGAGAUUUCCCAUUCCUAUAUGGAAGUAAGACCCCUGAAAGAUGAUCAGGUAGAUAGGCUGGAAGUGGAAGUGCAGCGAUGCAUGGAGCGGACCAGUACUAAUCGGUCGAGGACUUAACCAAG
rnacentral:rRNA from 1 species